rnacentral:rRNA from 1 species
GAUGAACGCUAGCGGGAGGCUUAACACAUGCAAGUCGAGGGGUAAAUGGUAGCAAUACUAUGAGACCGGCGGACGGGUGCGUAACGCGUAUGCAACAUACCUUGUGCAGGGGGAUAGCCCGUGGAAACGCGGAUUAAUAUUCCAUAGUCCAGCUAUAUCGCAUGGUAUAGUUGGUAAAGAUUUAUCGGCACAAGUUUGGCAUGCGUCUGAUUAGCUUGUUGGUAGGGUAACGGCCUACCAAGGCUACGAUCAGUAGGGGUUCUGAGAGGAUUAACCCCCACACUGGUACUGAGACACGGACCAGACUCCUACGGGAGGCAGCAGUGAGGAAUAUUGGUCAAUGGGCGCAAGCCUGAACCAGCCAUCCCGCGUGCAGGAAGACGGCCCUAUGGGUUGUAAACUGCUUUUCCAGGGGACGAAUAGUUUCUACGUGUAGAGACCUGACGGUACCUUGGGAAUAAGCAUCGGCUAACUCCGUGCCAGCAGCCGCGGUAAGCUAGUCUACG